AUUGAACGCUGGCGGCAGGCCUAACACAUGCAAGUCGAACGAGUGGCGGACGGGUGAGUAAUGUCUGGGAAUGUGCCUGAUGGAGGGGGAUAACCACUGGAAACGGUAGCUAAUACCGCAUACUAUCGGAUGCGCCCAUAGGGGAUUAGCGCGUGGGUGGGGUAAAGGCUCACCUAGGCGACGAUCCCUAGCUGGUCUGAGAGGAUGACCAGCCACACUGGGACUGAGACACGGCCCAGACUCCUACGGGAGGCAGCAGUGGGGAAUAUUGCACAAUGGGCGCAAGCCUGAUGCAGCCAUGCCGCGUGUAUGAAGAAGGCCUUAGGGUGGUAAAGUACUUGCAGCGGGGAGGCGUUACCCGCAGAAGAAGCACCGGCUAACUCCGUGCCAGCAGCCGCGGUAAUAC
rnacentral:rRNA from 1 species